GGGGGAGUGGCUCAGUGGCACAGAGCGCAGCGAACUUGCAUUUGGUCUGAUUUCACCUAUGAACAGCGUCCUCACACCCAGAGAUGCCUGUUCCUAAGGUCCUGGGUUCGAAUCCCAGUUCUCCCA